rnacentral:lncRNA from 1 species
UGAAAAUCCCAAGUUCUUGGGAAAGAAAAAAAAAGGACCUAAUUUUAUAGUUGCCAAGUGUCUCAAAGGCUUACAACAUUUAGUGAAGGGGAAGUCUGGCCAGCACCUCUCUACAACGAGGCCCAUUUUAAAGGGUGAAAUCACCAGCAAGCAGAAAGGCAUGAAAAUACCGUGACUCCCUGUAAAUAGACCAGAAGAGCACAUGAUAUGAAACGAGAGUUGGGAAGGGCAGCUCAUGGUGUUUGAGGGGAGCUCACUGCCUAUGACGUGCCUCCAGUUGCCAUGAUUCGGAUCCCUCACCUGUCAGGGAGGAGCCGGGAAAGCGCUGUGUUCUGAGUUGGGCCUUGCAGAACCAUGGCUCCUGUGAAACAGAAAAACGUGUUGUGUCGGUUACCUUUCUACUGCUGUAAUAAAACUCCAUGAGCAAGG